rnacentral:rRNA from 1 species
AGAUUGAACGCUGGCGGCAUGCUUUACACAUGCAAGUCGAACGGGCGUGUUGGGGCAACCUGGCAGUCAGUGGCGGACGGGUGAGUAAUGCAUCGGAACGUGUCCCGUAGUGGGGGAUAACCCGGCGAAAGCCGGACUAAUACCGCAUAUGCUCUACGGAGGAAAGCGGGGGACCUGAAAGGGCCUCGCGCUAUGGGAGCGACCGAUGUCCGAUUAGCUUGGUUGGUGGGUAAUGGCCUACCAAGGCGACGAGUCGGUAGCUGGUCUGAGAGGAUGAUCAGCCACACUGGGACUGACGACACGGGCCCAGUACUCCGACGGGAGCGAGCAGGUGGGUAAUUUGGACAGUGGGGCCAACCGUGAUCCAGCCAGUCGCCGCGU